rnacentral:rRNA from 1 species
AUUGAACGCUGGCGGCAGGCCUAACACAUGCAAGUCGAGCGGAUGAAGGGAGCUUGCUCCUGGAUUCAGCGGCGGACGGGUGAGUAAUGCCUAGGAAUCUGCCUGGUAGUGGGGGAUAACGUCCGGAAACGGGCGCUAAUACCGCAUACGUCCUGAGGGAGAAAGUGGGGGAUCUUCGGACCUCACGCUAUCAGAUGAGCCUAGGUCGGAUUAGCUAGUUGGUGGGGUAAAGGCCUACCAAGGCGACGAUCCGUAACUGGUCUGAGAGGAUGAUCAGUCACACUGGAACUGAGACACGGCCCAGACUCCUACGGGAGGCAGCAGUGGGGAAUAUUGGACAAUGGGCGCAAGCCUGAUCCAGCCAUGCCGCGUGUGUGAAGAAGGUCUUCGGAUUGUAAAGCACUUUAGGUUGGGAGGAAGGGCAGUAAGUUAAUACCUUGCUGUUUUGACGUUACCGGCAGAAUAAGCACCGGCUAACUUCGUG